AUCAGUUCGAACAGGCUGUGCUGCAUCUGGCUUCGGAAAGAAGAAGAAGAAGAAGAAGAAGUUGAUGGUCGACGAUGGGGUGGGGAUGGACGAUAUACGAGGGAGUCGUGAGCUUAGGUUCGCUAUGGCUACUUGGUUGGGCUGGUCUCUGGUUCUUGAACCAGAGACUCUACAAAGAGUACGAAGAGAAGCGUGUUUUGGUUCAGAUCAUCUUCAGCGUUGUUUUUGCUUUCUCCUGUAAUCUUCUCCAGCUCGUUCUCUUCGAGAUCAUUCCCAUUCUAUCCACGGAGGCUCGAUGGUUGAACUGGAAGCUCGAUCUCUUCUGUUUGAUACUCUUGCUGGUCUUCAUGUUGCCCUAUUACCAUUGUUACUUGAUGCUCUGCAACAGCGGAAUCAGAAAGGAACGGGCUGCUCUUGGAGCUAUCUUGUUUCUGCUCGCCUUUCUUUAUGCCUUUUGGCGCAUGGGCAUUCACUUUCCCAUGCCUUCCCCUGAUAAAGGUUUCUUUACCAUUCCUCAAUUGGUUAGUAGAAUUGGGGUCAUUGGUGUUACUGUCAUGGCUGUCUUGUCUGGUUUUGGAGCUGUUAAUUUACCCUACAGUUAUCUAUCUCUCUUCAUUAGAGAGAUUGAAGAAUCAGAUAUUAAGGCCUUGGAAAGACAACUAAUGCAGUCAAUUGAGACUUGCAUUGCAAAGAAAAAGAAAAUUGUCCUUAGUCAAAUGGAGGUGGAGCGUAUUCAGGGCUCCGAAGAGAAAUUAAAAGCUAGAUCCUUCUUCAAACGAAUUGUUGGUACUGUUGUCCGAUCUGUGCAAGAUGACCAAAAGGAGCAAGAUAUUAAAGGUAUGGAAGCAGAGGUGCAAUCAUUGGAGGAGCUUUCAAAGCAACUCUUUUUGGAAAUCUAUGAGCUUCGCCAAGCAAAGGAGGCUGCUGCUUAUUCUCGAACCUGGAGGGGUCACAUGCAAAAUUUACUUGGCUAUGCAUGUUCAGUGUAUUGUGUAUAUAAGAUGAUAAAGUCUUUGCAAAGUGUUGUUUUUAAGGAGGCUGGUUCAGUUGAUCCUGUGACUAGGACAAUUACCAUAUUCUUGCAGUUUUUUGACAUUGGGAUUGAUGCCGCAUUGUUAUCACAGUACAUUUCUCUUUUAUUCAUCGGAAUGUUGAUCGUUAUCUCAGUACGUGGUUUUUUGACAAAUCUAAUGAAGUUCUUUUUUGCAGUUUCCAGAGUUGGGAGUGGAUCUUCAAGUAAUGUUGUACUAUUUUUAUCUGAAAUUAUGGGGAUGUACUUUGUGUCCUCCAUUCUUUUAAUAAGGAAAAGCUUGGCGACUGAAUAUCGGAUCAUCAUAACGGACGUACUGGGUGGCGAUAUUCAGUUCGACUUCUAUCACCGGUGGUUCGAUGCAAUCUUUGUGGCCAGUGCUUUCCUUUCACUACUUCUGCUCUCUGCACAUUACACAUCUCGACAAGCUGAUAAACACCCUAUUGAUUAGCUAACAUGAUUCAAUUCAGUGCCAAGUAGGCAUGUGGAAAUUAUGCUUGUACUCGCAUUAUUGUAAUUUCUGUGGCGGCACCGUUAGGCUGGAGGAGGCACCGAGGGAUCCUUUGGGUGCCGGUGUGGGUGCUUUGGGGGUCUGGCUCCUUGAGAGGUCAAGGUGCUUUAUACUAUGAGUAGAGAAAUCUAGCGAGAAAGAGAGAGAUGAGAGAAAUUGAUUGAGGGAGAGAGAAAUGGGAAAAAUUAUGCUAAGGGUGUAUUUGGAAUAAAAAAAAGGGUAUCAUAUUUUAAUGAUGCUAAAGUGUAGGCCUUUCUUUUUUUUUUUUUUUUAUAAUUUAGAUACCCUAUUAAGCAUGGAAACUCAAAUUUCCUUGUAUAAUAAAACAAAACAAAAAAGUUAUUGCCGAGAACCUUAAUUUGUUAUAAUUUUUGUAAAGUAAAAUGUAUGUCGUUUAAGUAUUUUGGUCGCUUUUGUAAAUGAGAAACGACGUGCAAUUUUAUUGAUAUAUAAAAAUAUGAAACGACAGGUCGUUUAAGCUUGAGUACUAAUGUAUGUACUGAGUGAGUCUGGGUUUUGGCGUGCAAAUUUUUAUUGUGGUAACCACAACAUGAAAGUUGUAUUUUACCAAACAAAAUAAAGGUAUUUAUUUAUUUAUGGUGUGUAUGAAUGUGUAUGUAUGCUUUUUUUAGGAGAAUUUUACAUAAAGUGACAAAAAAAAGUCAUUUUUUAAACAUUUUUACUUACACAAGAGUUUUUUAACAUUUUUACUAUUCAUCAUUUUUUUUUUUUUCCUGUCAUUUUUACGGACUCUCCGGCUCCAGUGGAGCUCCUACAUGUGGGAAGUCGGCGGGGCUGUGUCGGUGGUGGUGGUGGGGCUCGCGCGAAGGGACUCUCGGCUGGUGGUUGCGACGAAGCAUGGGAAAGGCUUGGCAUCAACAUUUUGGGUGCCAGGUUUGUGGCUUCGCGGCUGGGAUCUCGGAGGCUGGUUUCGCACGCAGUAAGACUGGGUGCUUGAGGAUUUAGCGACUUGGAGCUGAGAUGGGGAGAGGCGAGGUGUCCUAGGCUUGCGCAGAGGUUUGGGUCGAGUCGAGCUUGCACAGGUGGAAUCGCGCCUGUGGCGUGCAUGGGCUACAGAGCUCAAUGCUUGGACGGGGUCGCGAAUCGCAGGGGUGCUCGGAGCUUACGACGAAGUGCACCGGGGCUCGAUUUUGGGGUUUUGGUGAGGAUGAGGAGGCUAGGGGUUCUGGGUUCAAGGUUGGUUGGGUAAUGAGAACGGGGUGCAAGUUCUAGGUUUUUUUCAAUAUUGUUGUCGUGAUUUUUUUUUAAGUGUAAUGGGUUGCAUUGUGUUAUUAUGAAGUUGUUGUUUUUAUACUGUUUAGAAUUUAUGUAUAAUUAUUUUCAUGUUGA